rnacentral:rRNA from 1 species
AACGAACGCUGGCGGCAUGCCUAACACAUGCAAGUCGAACGAGACCUCCGGGCCUAGUGGCGCUCGUGGGCGUAACGCGGGGGAACUUGCACUUAGGUUCGGAAUAACUCCCCGUAGGGGAUGCUCAUACCGGUUAGUGUCAUCGGACCAAAGAUCUAUGGCCGUGGGAUGGGCGCGCGUCGGAUUGGCGAGUUGGUAGUGUACAAGCCGACCAUGGCGAGGAUGCAUAGCUGGUCGGAGAGGAUGAUCAGCCACACUGGGACUGCGACACGGCCCAGACUCGUACGCGGGGGAGCAGUAGGUAAUAUUAGGCGAUGGGCGCAGGCCUGAUACAGCAACGCCGGGGGAGUGAGGCAGGCGUUAGGGUUGUAAAGCUCUUUUAGCCGGGAUGAUAAUGACAGUACCGGGAGAAUAAGCACCGGCUAACUCCGUG